rnacentral:tRNA from 1 species
GGUCCCAUAGCUCAGUUGGUUAGAGCGUCGUACUAAUAUUAAUCCGAUGAGGGUUUAUAUCAAGUAAAUGCGAAGGCCGGCGGUUCGAGCCCGCCUGGGACCA